AGGAGGAGAGUACUAGUUGGAGCACAGUUGGAGUUGCAUUGGAGCUAAGGAGCAAAUAUGUAGGAUCCUGGGUAUUCUGUCUUUAAGCAUUGGCUAUAGGAUCUUCUCAUAAAGGGCUUGUAAAGAACAGUGGGCUUUAAAUCAAUCCUGAAUGAAAGCCGACAGUACUUUGGUUAUGGUUCUCAAGAUAUUCAGAAGACUUCAACACAGGUACCAUUGUAAAGGGUGGACUCAGGCCAUUAUACCGCACGGACACCUGCCCUCUCUCUCCCCCUCUCUCCCUCUCCUACCCCCUUUGCCUCUCUCUCCCUCCACCCUAAAUGGGGCAGCCAGUGGGAUUCCUGGCAGAGUGAUUUGGUACGGUAUCAUAAAAUCACAUUGCCAGGGAUUUCCAACCAGCUGCUUGCCACGACACUUCAAACAUCAUCACCGUACCACCCAAUCCAAAGGCAGCCCGUUUCACCCCUCUAUAUGUAUCCACCAUCUCCAUGCUUCAUAUUCUGUCAUCAGCUUACCAGGAAGAAUUUUUCCUCAGGCCAAAGGCUCUUUUAUAGUCAGGAUAUAGCAAACAGCCUGUUCUAAUACAAAUGUUAUAUGCUCUAUAACAUAUACUUGGGUUGUUUUUCCAACUUCAG